UGAUUUUUGAGACGGAUACAGAGAAGCCUCGUCUCUGAUCUUCGAUUGAAAGCAGGCCAGGAGACGCUGGAAAAGUAACGUAGACUGGGAGGUUCAACUGGGUGUGUAUGGCUCUUUAAGACGAGAGCGAGCAGCGGGCACGCGCACGCUUCUCUGGCAGAGCUUCAGUAAACAUCUAGCUGUGUGGACGCGCUUUCAUGUCUCUCGUUAAUAAAUAUGUCCAAAGCUGAAGAAAUAGUCUCUUCUUCAUUCAAAUGUUAGCCUAGAGUUUUAUUGACUUGCCAGAGGAGGAAGUCCACUGGUUUUCAGCAACCCAGGAGAAGCCACCGAUAGCGGAAGCAGCCCCAAAGGCAGCAGCAGACGGGAGCAGACAAAAAGAGUCCGAGCCACCGACAGCAGACGGAGGGGAAAAGAGAGAAGAGUCCAGCAGCUGACAAAGCUGAGCCGAACCGAGCAGAAACGGAACCAGAGACAGGGAGAGACACAACAAAAUGGCGCCACGAAUUUUAGGUCUGUUUUGCAUUUUAUCUUUGUUAAAUGCAGCUGUGAGCCUGUACGGAGAGCGUGGAUCAUAUGUGUAGAGCUCAGAUGGUCUCUGUGUCUCUUUCGUUUCUAGAAUCAAAUUUCUUUGUCAUGCUAGCGUUUAUAUUUGUGUUUUUGUGUAUCUGUGUUUUUAUUGGGGUUAAAAAGAGCGUUUAUUGUCGAGUUAAGUGCUCCGAGGAGAACAAAGGCUUCAGCUGCAGAGAAGGGGGCAGGGCAGAACAUGCUCUGGGCGCAGCGAAAGCGUGCUUUGCCGUGACGGCAGAUGUCGUAAACCAGCUUAAAGUACGAAAAAACUGUUCCUUUUAUGUUUUAAAUUGUCAAGCUGUGGUGUUUCCUAAUCCGAGACUGGAAAAGGCAUGUAAUUCCGUCAGAUUCAAUUUUUAAUAGAGUUUCAGCAGAGUGUUUUAUGUUGAGGUGAAGUAGAGUUGAGAUAUAGAGAGAGCAAACAAUGCCACAUUUGUGUUGAGAAUAUUAAAUUUAAGGAUUAGAAGUGCAGCUACAGAGUAAAAAGCAGUGCAGAGUGAGAUUACAGACGUCUCUCAGUAUUGAAAUAGAAGUUUAGAGGUGUCUGGCCAGUUUUUGAAGGAAAAAUAUAGAGAAAGGAAAAUAAAG